UACGUAGGGGGCGAGCGUUGUCCGGAUUUAUUGGGCGUAAAGAGCUCGUAGGCGGUGUGUCGCGUCGGCCGUGAAAACCUGCAGCUUAACUGUGGGCUUGCGGUCGAUACGGGCAUCACUGGAGUUCGGCAGGGGAGACUGGAAUUCCUGGUGUAGCGGUGAAAUGCGCAGAUAUCGGGAGGAACACCGGUGGCGAAGGCGGUUCUCUGGGCCUUACCUGACGCUGAGGAGCGAAAGCGUGGGGAGCGAACAGG
rnacentral:rRNA from 1 species